rnacentral:rRNA from 1 species
ACCUCAAAGCUAGCCUAUAUAUCAACUUCAACUAGACCUAAUAAAUCUAAUUCACACUAUAAUUUUUUAACCAAAACAUUCUUAACCUUUUAGUAUGGGCGACAGAACAAUAACUUCAGCGCAAUAGCUUAUGUACCGCAAGGGAAAGCUGAAAAAGAAAUGAAAUAAAUUAUUAAAGUACUAAAAAGCAGAGAUUACAUCUCGUACCUUUUGCAUCAUGAUUUAGCUAGAAAAACUAGGCAAAAAGAUCUUAAGUCUAUCCUCCCGAAACUAAACGAGCUACUCCGAAGCAGCAUUAUAGAGCUAACCCGUCUCUGUGGCAAAAGAGUGGGAAGACUUCCGAGUAGCGGUGAAAAGCCUACCGAGUUUAGUGAUAGCUGGUUACCCAAAAAAAGAACUUCAAUUCUGCAUUAAUUUUUUAAUUACCUAGACAAGACUCUCCUUAUCAAAGGAACUCAUAAGAAUUAAUAGUUAUUUAGAAGAGGUACAGCCCUUCUAAACCAAGAUACAACUUUUUAAGAUGGGAAAUGAUCAUAAUUACCAAGGUAAUCCCCUCAGUGGGCCUAAAAGCAGCCACCUGUAAAGCAAGCGUCGCAGCUCCAGCUCAAUAACCAAACCCUUAAUCCCGAUACCCACUCACUACCCUCCUUACUUAUUGGGUUAUUUUAUAAAAAUAUAAAAGAACUUAUGCUAAAAUGAGUAAUAAAGAGAAUAUAUCUCUCCUAACACAAGUGUAUGUCAGAAGAAUUAAAUCACUGAUAAUUAAACGGCCCCAAACUGAGGCUACUAUACUAUUUAAACAUCAACCAGAAAACCCUAUUCUUCCACCCGUUAACCCUACACAGGAGU